rnacentral:rRNA from 1 species
GAUGAACGCUGGCGGCGUGCCUAAUACAUGCAAGUCGAGCGAACAGACGAGGAGCUUGCUCCUCUGACGUUAGCGGCGGACGGGUGAGUAACACGUGGAUAACCUACCUAUGAGACUGGGAUAACAGCGGGAAACCAGUGCUAAUACCGGAUAAGAUAAUGAACCGCCUGGGGCAAGAGUGAAAGGGGGUUUUUCUGUCCCUUAUAGACGGGUCCGCGCCGCAUUAGCUAGUUGGUUAGGUAACGGCUUACCAAGGGAACGAUGCGUAGCCGACCUGCGAGGGUGAUCGGCCACACUGGAACUGAGACACGGUCCAGACUCCUACGGGAGGCAGCAGUAGGGAAUCUUCCGCAAUGGGCGAAAGCCUGACGGAGCAACGCCGCGUGAGUGAUGAAGGUCUUCGGGUCGUAAAGCUCUGUUAUUAGUGAAGAACAAAUGUGUAAGUAACUAUGCACGUCUUGACGGUACCUAAUCAGAAAGCCACGGCUAACUACGUG